rnacentral:rRNA from 1 species
CAGUAGCCGCGGUAAUACGAACCGAGCGAACGUUAUUCGGAAUCACUGGGCUUAAAGGGUGCGUAGGCGGACUGUCAAGUCUGGGGUGAAAUCCGGCAGCUUAACUGUCGAACUGCCUCAGAUACUGAUGGUCUCGAGGAAGGUAGGGGCAUGCGGAACUGUAGGUGGAGCGGUGAAAUGCGUUGAUAUCUACAGGAACUCCGGUGGCGAAAGCGGCGUGCUGGACCUUUUCUGACGCUGAGGCACGAAAGCUAGGGGAGCAAACGGGAUUAGAGACCCCUGUAGUCCCUGUCUCUUAUAC